GUCAGGAUGGCCGAGUGGUCUAAGGCGCCAGACUCAAGGUGUUUAACCUUCCCUUACAGUGUGGGUUUUCUGGUCUCUGAAUGGAGGCGUGGGUUCGAAUCCCACUUCUGACA